AUAAGUAAGCGGAGGAUAAGAAACUAAAUAGGAUUCCCUCAGUAAUGGCGAAUGAACAGGGAUAAGCUCAGCUUGGAAAUUGGGCCCUCUGGGCUUGAAUUGUAGUCUUUCGAUGGCAUUGCCAGCGGAGGCGCAGAUGUAAGCCUCUUGGAAAAGAGCAUCAAUGAGGGUGAGAGUCCCGUUUGUCAUCUGCAGUCCUCUGUUUACGGUGUGCUUUCUAAGAGUCACGUUCCUUGGGAUUGGAGCGCAAAUUGGGUGGUAAAUUUCAUCUAAAGCUAAAUAUUGGUUCGAGACCGAUAGCAAACAAGUACCAUGAGGGAAAGGUGAAAAGGACUUUGAAAAGAGAGUUAAAAGUGCCUGAAAUUGCUGAAAGGGAAGCGAAUGGAACCAGUCUUCUUGGUGAGAUUGUUGUGCGCUAUUGUGAUUGCUUUCUGCUUCAACGCAAGUGUUGCAGUGGGUUUUGAGCAUGACGCGCACUUUGUUUCUCACCUCGUGUGUCAACGUCGGUUCAGAUUUGAGGAAAACUCUAGGGACAUGGUUAAUUACUCGCGAGUGAUUGAAUGUGCCUGGUAGAACUCAUGUCUAAACUGAUUUCCGCAUGUCUGGUCGCAGUGUUCUCAUUACCUACGUCUGGGUUCGUGGCUUGUAGCUUCUGUUACUCGUCGCGGGCUUCUGGGCCUGGUCGUGGAGCAUCUCCCUGACAUUAGUACGAUGACAAAAUGGUUUCAUUCGACCCGUCUU
rnacentral:rRNA from 1 species